GGAUUAUUUGAUAAUUCGAAAUAGACAUUAGGAUACAUUUUUUUGGAGGCGUCUCACCCAUCUCCUUCCUUAUCUCUGUCUGCAUGCAUAAGAAGCAAGGGCAAGGAGGACUUGCAUCAGCAUUUGGGAAGAUGAGAGUGUGCCAGUUGUCUCCAUCAGAAGGCUCAUGGACAACAGAGACAAACUCUGCCCCUGAAGACUCCUCAGUUAUCAAAGCACAAGGACUACAGGGAAGUACUCAUCUUUUUCACAUAUGGACUCUUGGAAGGGAUGGUAAUGGUGGGAAUUCCAUGGGGGGGGGGGGAGGCAAGAAUAAAUGGAAGGCAUCCUCUGGUGGAGGAAGACAAACAGUGCAACUUAUAAAACUUCUAAAAGUUGUUAUCUCUAGGCAUUUCUCUGUUGCACUUUUUAUUUUGUAUAAGACAUACCUGGUACAGCAUUGUGCUGUUUAGGAGUGGGUCUGAUGGUUUAGAAGGGCAGCCCAAAUUGUAUAUGAACAGCUUGUUCCAAUGCUCAUGGAAACACAUUAGAAAAACAUUACACAGAAGCAAUAAUUUGAGAUCCCAAACACGUUUUUUCCCCAUUAACAAUAUUUUAAAAUGCAGAAGGCACUUCUGUGAAGCAUGAAGGAUGGUCAGGGGUAGCUAAUGAGGCUGAUAGGUACAAUUGCUGCAUGCUUGAUCUGCCUUGGAUCCUAAUGCUUAUUUGGACAUUCUUAUUAUUGUGUGGGUGUUAAGUCUGUCCAAGCUCAUAAUCGAUAGAUAUAUGGUCACUCAGAGGGUUUAUGUCUCUGUCUGGGAAAGCUGGAACAAAGUGAUCAGGAUAUAGUUUGUUAGGUUCAUACAGAAAAUUUCUCAUAGAAAAUCUGAGCAGACUAAUUGCUGGGCAUUAGCAUGGGAGUCAUAUGAGCUGUGAUAAUGAUUUGGAUAAUGAAACCCCCACCUCUGGCCAUCACUUUUUCACCUACGGGGUCAGUAAAGAAUUUAUUCAACCUUGAGUUGCAUUUUAUAAUUGGCUAUUUGUAUCUGGGAAGAUUUUGGUACUGCACAGUACCUUCAGAUAAUCAUUCACUGACUAUAAAAGGGACUAAAGUGCAUCAGAAGGAAAAAUGGUUGGGACCCACUGUUGGAAAAUAUAGAGUCAAAACCCCCAUAAUUUUCAGUCAUGGAUCUUUGAGCUCUAGAGGAAACAGUCUGAGCUGACAGCUUAGCAAUAGCUUAACAGAUUUAUAAAAACUGUAUAUCAAGCAAAUGAUAUCUUGGUGUUGCAUGCACAUACUGAACCGAGUAGGGUAGUGUUUUGCUAAAUGUAGUUUUGUUCUGGUGAUGUGACUCCUCAAUCUCACAAAAGGGUGGCAAUUUCCCACCUUUAAUUCUGCACUGGUUGUUGUGGAACAUCACACUAAUGAAAGUACCCCUAAUAACAGAUGCCAAGCAGUAGAGGACUCUUAACAGCCUGAAGGUUAACAGUGGAAUAUUAUUCAGUUAUUUGCUAAAACUUGAAUUCAACAUGAGAUGUGGCUACAAAUUCCCUCAUCCUGUGUUCAGAUGCCUAGUUGAGAACAGAAUUUGGGAGUCAAAUUUUCUGAAUUGUAGCACAUGCAGCAAGAGAACUGUUAGGAAGCAGCUCAUGCCUUAUAUUUCUCCAGAAGGCAAUUCAGCCUGCAUUUCUUUAUUAGCUGCAUAAAGAGCCCAGGGAAAGCACGAUUUUAGCUUAAGCUGUUUUUGAAAAGACUUUUAGACUCGGGUUUAGGCAUUCUGAGUUUAUUAUCCGAGGCACAUGGGCACAGGUGUCUGUCAGUGUCAGUGAGUUAAAAUGCUGCCCCCAGCAAAGAAUUUUGCAAACCUCCCCAGUGGGAGCUGUGGAUUACUUCCCAGGGAGACCCAGGCCCCUUCUCCAAGAAGAGCUCUUGUGCAGCUGACUGGAGCCUCUGAGCUGACGUGGGGUGCUCUUACCUGCCAUUUCACACCCACAGCAGUGCUAGUUCUCCAUUCCCAAAAGUACAGUCCUACAGCCAGGUGGAAGGUGGAAAAAAAGAUACUUAGAGCCAAGAGGUGACCAGGAAGAGUUUCUUUAAGUAUCCCUUGUCUUGCACCACCUGUUCAAACAGGGAGCUGCUUAGGACUUGGUUUUGGCUGGCUACCAGCCCAAAGAAUUACUGGAUUUUCACUAAAGCAUUUCAGUAGUUCUGGUUAGAUGUUUUAUCUGUAGGAAAAUUGCUUAAAAUACACCUAAGUUUUGAUCAUCUAGGUCUCAGAUGUGACCCCAAAUCUCCUGCUCUCUGGUUGCCUCUAAUGACAUGACUUUUACGUGGAUAUUCUUCAGGUAUCAGCUCUGCUCGUGGGCCUACUCCUGUUUGAAACAGUUAUGUCAGUAACUUCAGUUACUAUCAGAUCAAAAUCCAGAUAAUGUCCACUAAAAUAAAAACCUCUGGGUGCUCAGCACACACUCAGAAGAUUAGAUAGCUGUGGAUACCCUCUUCAUCAUGCUAUUUUUCCAGGACACAUGAGAAUAAAGAGAUCUUUAUCUUCAAGAAAGUUUCAUAAUGAAGGUACCUAUCAUCCUAGGUAAAGAAA